AGUAUGCAGCUUGUAAGCAUUCUUCAUGUCAUCUAAAAGAUGAAAAAGAGAGUAUAUCAUUAAGAAGAAAUAAAUGCAACAUUAAAAAACUAUAUUAGUAUAUAUUUAGUAAUAGUUAUAAAAUAAUAAAUAUAUACAUAAAUGCACUUGUAUUUCUAAUUAUCUCUUUCUUAUCACAAGGACUCUCUCUUUGUCUCCCUGGUUUCCACAGGGUCUAAAUCAAAGCCCUGCACUUGAUAAUGUUUUAAGGCUUCAAAUAUCUUUAGAGGUCAUUUAGUCUAAACUCCUCAAUUUAUGGAUAAGGAAAUGCCCAGGAAAGUUAAAAAGCCUCGUAAUUAA
rnacentral:lncRNA from 1 species